rnacentral:rRNA from 1 species
AGGGUUCGAUUCUGGCUCAGGAUGAACGCUAGCGGCAGGCUUAACACAUGCAAGUCGAGGGGCAGCGGGAUGUAGCAAUACAUUGCCGGCGACCGGCGGAUGGGUGCGUAACGCGUAUGCAACCUACCUUAUACAGGGGAAUAACCUUUCGAAAGGGAGACUAACACCCCAUAGUAUUGAUUUAAGGCAUCUUAGAUUAAUUAAAUAUUUAUAGGUAUAAGAUGGGCAUGCGUAUGAUUAGCUAGUUGGUAAGGUAACGGCUUACCAAGGCGACGAUCAUUAGGGGUUCUGAGAGGAAGGUCCCCCACACUGGUACUGAGACACGGACCAGACUCCUACGGGAGGCAGCAGUGAGGAAUAUUGGUCAAUGGGCGCAAGCCUGAACCAGCCAUGCCGCGUGCAAGGAAGACGGCCUUAUGGGUUGUAAACUGCUUUUACAUAAGACUAACCGUAUAUUUGCGAAUAUACCUGAAUGUAUUAUGAGAAUAAGGAUCGGCUAACUCCGUGCCAGCCGCCGC